AGCUCCAAUAGCGUAUAUUAAAGUUGCUGCAGUUAAAAAGCUCGUAGUUGGAUUUCUGGCGUGACGCGCCUGGCCCGCGUGCGGUUUCGUAUGUGAGUGCUGGUGCGCGUCUGCCAUCCUUCUAGAAAACUAUGUUCUCCCUUCGCUGGGCAGAGCGUCGUGAUCUAGAUCUUUUACUUUGAAAAAAUUAGAGUGUUCAAAGCAGGCUUGCGCUGUGAAUACAUUAGCAUGGAAUAAUAAUUUAGGACUUUGUUUCCUAUUUUGUUGGUUUCUAGGAAUGAAGUAAUGAUUGAUAGGGAUAGUUGGGGGUGCUAGUAUUCAGCGGCCAGAGGUGAAAUUCUCAGAUUCGCUGAAGACUAACUUAUGCGAAAGCAUUCACCAAGGAUGUCUUCUUUAAUCA
rnacentral:rRNA from 1 species